GUUUUCUUCUCCCUUAGCUCUCUUCUCUUGGAAACAACUAGAAUCCAUCAAAUCGGUCGCUGCAACUGAAUCUUCACCUACGUUUCAAGCAAUUUGCAGACAACCAAUGACGGAGAUGAAGAAUAAUUGAGUUGGUUAUUUUUCACUUCCUCGAUUAGGUAUGUAGUAGAGAUGCAGUAAGGCAAGUUGUAGUUAACUUCAUCGGAACAUGGUUUGAAGUUGUUGAUAAGAGCAUGUGAUGCUCAGUUAAGAGGAUUCAUCCCCUUUUCAUCCCAUUCAUGGGUCAUAAAGAAGGUUCUAUCAGAGUUUUGUAGCAUGCAGAUCGUCUUGGACUGCAGUUUCACAGUUAGUCUGGUGCGGCAGGAACCGUUAAGAUGAAGAUGAUUCAAACAGAUCUUGGCCUUUGAGGUGACACUGCAAGGUGGAUCAAAGGCAGGAACCAUUGAUAUUGGAGCUACUGUGAGUGUUCCUUCGUUUGUUAACAGUUGCGGCGAUAUAUUGGUGGACACUAGAACCGGAAAUUACAUGGGCAGGGAAAAAUAGUUUUGAAACUUCUAUUUUCUCUAAGCACCACUUUUUUGUUGCAUUUAUUGCACUUCACAUUUUGUGGAUUUGUGCUUGAGAAACUUGAUUGGGGACACUUGCUGCAAAGUGUACGUAUACAAGAACUCUGGUGAUUCGUAAAAAGAUAUUUUCAA